UAACCGUUGGUGAACCAGCGGAGGGAUCAUUACCGAGUUUACAACUCCCAAACCCAAUGUGAACCAUACCAAACUGUUGCCUCGGCGGGGUCACGCCCCGGGUGCGUCGCAGCCCCGGAACCAGGCGCCUGCCGGAGGGACCAACCAAACUCUUUCUGUAGUCCCCUCGCGGACGUUAUUUUUACAGCUCUGAGCAAAAAUUCAAAAUGAAUCAAAACUUUCAACAACGGAUCUCUUGGUUCUG
rnacentral:misc_RNA from 1 species